CUUCAAGUCCCAGGUGGCUCAGGAAGCAGGGGUGCAGUUGCCUGCCUGCAUACGGAGCAAGGCAUGUUUGAAGAGUACCCGGGUUUGGUAGAGUGACUUCUAUUCACUAAAACCAUGUGUCUGAACUGAAGAAGCUUGGGCUCACUUCCACAAAUGUGGAACCUACCAAAUGGGGUCUCCAGCCACUCCCGCUAGUAUUCUUCCGCCUACAGAAAUUUGAAAACUCCCUGGGCCAGAACUCCCAGAGGGAGGAGCGGGCUGCCAUCUUUGCUGUUUGAGCCUCUGGAGUUUUUAAGCUUGGUGGUCUGAGAGAAGGACAGUAGCACUGAAGGAAAGGAGAGGGAACUGGUUCUUGUGGGGAAAUGCAGCUUUGUAUCUCAGGUGAUUUGAAAUUGAGAGGAGAAUGGACCUUCAAGCAGAAAAGGGAAACUAUGUUGUUAAUCAUGUGGGAUUGGAAUUCUGGAGUGCCAUCAGGGAGGGCCAGAUAAAUGGAGGAGACAAGUAUGUUCCUCAUUAAAAUGACACCUAGCUCCGCUUUUCCUCCUGCCCCACUCAAGUUUCCAGGAGAAGAGAGCUGAAGAGAGAUUCUUCAGGUACUCAGGGAUGGGAAGGCAGAGGAAGGGCAUGCUGACUCUUUCCUCCCAGGUUUUGUUUUCUCUUGGUUACUGUGGCCACCACCUUGCCCAGAGAUAAGAGGCUUCUUUAUAGGGGCCUUCCUUGGAAUAAACAGAAACAUCUUCAUCUCCAGCCAGAACAGACAUCAGGUUUAAUUUCCAGGAAUGGUAGAAGAGUUUUGUAUGUUUUCUAUUUCCACUGGGAAGACACCUAAUUUAGAUAUUUCCCCAAUACAUGUAAUAUGUAGUAGACAUUUAAAGAUAGAUAUUGCAAAGACUUAUGUACUCACCUCCCAGUUUAAGAAAUAAAAUAUUAAAGAUAAAAAAGUACCCUGCUUAAUCCUAUUCUCUUUUCACCCUCAAAGGUUACCACUAUCCUAUCUUUGUCGAUAUCACUGCAGUGUAUGUUUUUAUUCUUUUCUUUUUUAAAUGCUUUUAUUCUUUCCACUGCUGUGUAUGUGAAGAUAUCCAUAAACAACAGUCUAUAAGAUUGUUUUGAAUGUUUGAAAAUUUUGUGGAAACAAUAAAGUAUACAUUAUUCAUCUGC
rnacentral:lncRNA from 1 species